rnacentral:rRNA from 1 species
AGGACGAACGCUGGCGGCGUGCUUAACACAUGCAAGUCGAGCGGAAAGGCCCUUCGGGGUACUCGAGCGGCGAACGGGUGAGUAACACGUGAGCAACCUGCCCCUGGCUCUGGGAUAGCCUCCGGAAACGGGGAUUAAUACCGGACAUGACCUGGGACUGCAUGGUUCUGGGUGGAAAGUUUUUCGGCCUAGGGUGGGGCUCGCGGCCUAUCAGCUUGUUGGUGGGGUAACGGCCUACCAAGGCGACGACGGGUAG